CCUACGGGAGGCAGCAGUGGGGAAUAUUGCGCAAUGGGCGAAAGCCUGAUGCAGCGACGCCGCGUGAGUGAUGAAGGUCUUCGGAUCGUAAAGCUCUGUCAGCAGGGAAGAACGGUCACUGUGCUAAACAGCAGUGCAUUGACGGUACCCGCAAAGGCAGCACCGGCUAACACCGUGCCAGCAGCCGCGGUAAUACGGAGGGUGCGAGCGUUAAUCGGAAUUACUGGUCGUAAAGCGCACGUAGGCGGUAUGUCAAGUCAAGGGUGAAAGCCCCGGGCUCAACGUGGGAACUGCCUUUGAAACUGGCAAACUGGAGUGUAGGAGGGGAUAGUGGAAUUCCAGGUGUAGGGGUGAAAUGCGUAGAUAUCAGGAGGAACAUCGGUGGCGAAGGCGACUAGCUGGAACAUGACUGACGCUGAGGCGCGAAAGCGUGGGUAGCAAACAGGAUUAGAUACCCGAGUAGUC
rnacentral:rRNA from 1 species